rnacentral:rRNA from 1 species
AUUGAACGCUGGCGGCAGGCCUAACACAUGCAAGUCGAACGGUAGCACAGAGAGCUUGCUCUCGGGUGACGAGUGGCGGACGGGUGAGUAACGUCUGGGAAACUGCCCGAUGGAGGGGGAUAACUACUGGAAACGGUAGCUAAUACCGCAUAACGUCGCAAGACCAGAGUGGGGGACCUUCGGGCCUCACACCAUCGGAUGUGCCCAGAUGGGAUUAGCUAGUAGGUGGGGUAAUGGCUCACCUAGGCGACGAUCCCUAGCUGGUCUGAGAGGAUGACCAGCCACACUGGAACUGAGACACGGUCCAGACUCCUACGGGAGGCAGCAGUGGGGAAUAUUGCACAAUGGGCGCAAGCCUGAUGCAGCCAUGCCGCGUGUAUGAAGAAGGCCUUCGGGUUGUAAAGUACUUUCAGCGGGGAGGAAGGCGGUGAAGUUAAUAACUUCACCGAUUGACGUUACCCGCAGAAGAAGCACCGGCUAACUCCGUGCCAGCAGCAGCCGCGG